GAUGAACGCUGGCGGCGUGCCUAAUACAUGCAAGUCGAACGAAGAGUAUUUGUAGUAAUACAGAUGCUUCUUAGUGGCGAACGGGUGAGUAACGCGUUGGUGACCUGCCCCAAAGUCUGGGAUAACCCCGCGAAAGCGGGGCUAAUACCGGAUGUGGUCAUCGGGAUUAGAAUCCGAUGUCUAAAGGAGUAAUUCGCUUUGGGAGGGGCCUGCGUCCCAUCAGCUAGUUGGUAGGGUAACGGCCUACCAAGGCGACGACGGGUAGGGGACCUGAGAGGGUGGCCCCCCACAAUGGAACUGAAACACGGUCCAUACACCUACGGGAGGCUG
rnacentral:rRNA from 1 species